ACGGACGUCCAGUGGACAUCCAUUUAAGAUAAGAAAGGGAUACGCAUGUAUCACGCCAUAAUAAAAGACUGCUCUGCACAGUCUUGCGCGGAUUGGUCGAGCGCGAUCACGUGACCUGAUUUGGCGAGCACGUGUAACAAUCGAGCAGCACGCACGAACCUUACAGAUGUGUACCGGCGACUCUUGGAAAUCUCUCUUCUCUCAAGUGUUCUGUGGCGUGUUAAUUUUUUUACAAAAUCAUUUCUGGGUUACUCAGUGGUCUCAUCAAACGGAUACGAGAAUAAUAAAUGUAAGUAUAUUUAUGGUUUGUAUUUUAUUGUUUUAGAUAUAGUAAACUUUUAGCAGAUAUUUUUGUCAUAACCUAUAGGUUAGAAACAUGCGGGGGGUAAAUAGCUGAGGGCAUUGCGGUGUACAGAUUCGUCGUAUUGCUUAGGCAUUACUUGGGUAUUACUAGGUUAUUAUAAUUCUGAAAGACUACACUCUGGUAAGAUUUGGUUACGCAAGACCACACUGUUACAAGGAACCCUUGGUAAAGAUUAGUUACGCAAGACCACAUUGUCACAAGGAAUUCGUGAAAAAUAAAUGAAUGAACUUUCACAAAUUGGUGGAAGCUCUGUAUAUAACAUGACACAAAGAGCUUUGCAAAAGUUGAUGACAAAUAAACUUGCUGCAACCUACAGUUGGUUGAGAAGGCGGUCCAA